GAACCCGCCUCUAAAAGAGCACCAGAUUCCUAAUCUGGGGGUCACGCGUUCGAAUCGCGUCGGGAUCACCA
rnacentral:tRNA from 1 species